GGAUAGCUCAGUUGGCUAGAGUGUGGUGCUGAUAAUGCCAAGGUUGAAGGUUGGAUCCCUGUAGGUGAUCCA